GACAGAGGGUGCAAACGUUGUUCGGAAUUACUGGGCGUAAAGCGAGUGCAGGCGGUUUCCUAAGUCAGGUGUGAAAGCCCCGGGCUCAACCCGGGAAGUGCACUUGAAACUGGGAGGCUAGAGUAUCGGAGAGGUUGGUGGAAUUCUCGGUGUAGAGGUGAAAUUCGUAGAUAUCGAGAGGAACACCGGUGGCGAAGGCGGCCAACUGGACGAAUACUGACGCUGAGACUCGAAAGCGUGGGGAGCAAACAGG
rnacentral:rRNA from 1 species